rnacentral:lncRNA from 1 species
AUAGGGUUCCACUUGGGACACAAGCAGAGAGCAGGUCUGUUUAUAUCUGGUGCCUCUGUCUCCAAAGCAACAUGAUGAAGAUGAAGACGAUGAAACAAAUAUAUAUAUUUUUUUUUAUUCCAACUGGUUUUAGAACACACACAAUGAAUUAUUCAAACAUAAAACACAUCAGAAUAGUUCCUUCCUGGCUGAAGUGUGAUCAUGAACACUAAAUUAGGGAGAAAGUACAGUUCCACCGCGGUCAGAUUAAAAAAUAAACAAUUAUACAGAGAAUGUAAAUGUGUAACAGUAUGUGUACAUCCCAAAUAGAGCCCUAUUCCCUAUAUAGUGCACUACUUUAGACCAGAGCCCUAUGGAACCCUAUUCCCUAUAUAGUGCACUACUUUAGACUUUGCCCACUACCCACACUGUGUUACAUCAGGAAGUGGGGGAGGGAGGCAGCCCAACAGUAGUUGGCACUACAUAGCCUGCGUCCCAAAUGGGACCCUAAUCCAUAUAUUGUGCUCUACUUUUUUAAAACAAAAGUAGUGCACUAUAUAGGGAAUAGGGUGCCAUUUGCUCCCAAGUGGCGGAGCAGUCUAAGGCGUUGCAUCUCAGUGCAAGAGACGUCACUACAGUCCCUGGUUCGAAUUCAGGGACUGUGAUUGAGAGUCCCAUUGGGCAGUGCACAAUUGGCCCAUGUCCGAGUUUGGCCCGUGGUAGGCUGUCAUUGUAAAUAAGAAUUUUUUCUUAACUGACUUGUCUAGUUAAAUAAAAGGUUAAAUAAAAAACGAAAUACAAAUUUGGGACGCAAUCAUGGAUUCCACCAGUUAAACUUCAACCUCAUCCCCAGACUAUUUGGCACAGGAGGAAGUGUCUGGGAACAGGAGGAAGUGUCUGGGAACAGGAGGAAGUGUCUGAGCACAGGAGGAAGUGUCUGGGAACAGGAGGAAGUGCCUGGGCAAAGGAGGAAGUGUCUGGGAACAGGAGGAAGUGUCUGGGAACAGGAGGAAGUGUCUGAGCACAGGAGGAAGUGUCUGAGCACAGGAGGAAGUGUCUGAGCGCAGGAGGAAGUGUCUGAGCACAGGAGGAAGUGUCUGAGCACAGGAGGAAGUGUCUGAGAACAGGAGGAAGUGUCUGGGCACAGGAGGAAUAGUCUGGGCACAGGAGGAAGUGUCUGAGCACAGGAGGAAGUGUCUGAGAACAGGAGGAAGUGUCUGGGCACAGGAGGAAUAGUCUGGGCACAGGAGGAAGAGUCUGGGCACAGGAGGAAGAGUCUGAGCACAGGAGGAAGUGUCUGGGAACAGGAGGAAGUGUCUGGGAACAGGAGGAAGUGUCUGAGCACAGGAGGAAGUGUCUGAGCGCAGGAGGAAGUGUCUGAGCGCAGGAGGAAGUGUCUGAGCACAGGAGGAAGUGUCUGAGAACAGGAGGAAGUGUCUGGGCACAGGAGGAAUAGUCUGGGCACAGGAGGAAGUGUCUGAGCACAGGAGGAAGUGUCUGAGAACAGGAGGAAGUGUCUGGGCACAGGAGGAAUAGUCUGGGCACAGGAGGAAGUGUCUGAGCACAGGAGGAAGUGUCUGAGAACAGGAGGAAGUGUCUGGGCACAGGAGGAAUAGUCUGGGCACAGGAGGAAGAGUCUGAGCACAGGAGGAAGAGUCUGAGCACAGGAGGAAGUGUCUGGGAACAGGAGGAAGUGUCUGAGCACAGGAGGAAGUGUCUGAGCACAGGAGGAAGUGUCUGGGACCAGGAGGAAGUGUCUGGGAACAGGAGGAAGUGUCUGGGAACAGGAGGAAGUGUCUGAGAACAGGAGGAAGUGUCUGGGCACAGGAGGAAGUGUCUGGGAACAGGAGGAAGUGUCUGGGAACAGGAGGAAGUGUCUGGGAACAGGAGGAAGUGUCUGGGAACAGGAGGAAGUGUCUGGGAACAGGAGGAAGUGUCUGGGAACAGGAGGAAGUGUCUGAGCACAGGAGGAAGUGUCUGAGCGCAGGAGGAAGUGUCUGAGCACAGGAGGAAGUGUCUGAGCGCAGGAGGAAGUGUCUGAGCACAGGAGGAAGUGUCUGAGCACAGGAGGAAGUGUCUGGGACCAGGAGGAAGUGUCUGGGACCAGGAGGAAGUGUCUGGGAACAGGAGGAAGUGUCUGGGACCAGGAGGAAGUGUCUGAGAACAGGAGGAAGUGUCUGGGCACAGGAGGAAGUGUCUGAGCACAGGAGGAAGUGUCUGGGAACAGGAGGAAGUGUCUGGGAACAGGAGGAAGUGUCUGGGCAUAGGAGGAAGUGCCUGGGAACAGGAGGAAGUGUCUGAGCACAGGAGGAAGUGUCUGGGCGCAGGAGGAAGUGUCUGAGCGCAGGAGGAAGUGUCUGAGAACAGGAGGAAGUGUCUGGGCACAGGAGGAAGUGUCUGGGAACAGGAGGAAGUGUCUGAGCACAGGAGGAAGUGUCUGGGCAUAGGAGGAAGAGUCUGGGAACAGGAGGAAGUGUCUGGGAACAGGAGGAAGUGUCUGGGAACAGGAGGAAGUGCCUGGGAACAGGAGGAAGUGCCUGGGAACAGGAGGAAGUGUCUGGGAACAGGAGGAAGUGUCUGGGAACAGGAGGAAGUGUCUGGGAACAGGAGGAAGUGUCUGAGCACAGGAGGAAGUGUCUGGGAACAGGAGGAAGUGUCUGGGAACAGGAGGAAGUGUCUGGGAACAGGAGGAAGUGUCUGGGAACAGGAGGAAGUGUCUGGGAACAGGAGGAAGUGUCUGGGAACAGGAGGAAGUGUCUGGGAACAGGAGGAAGUGUCUGGGAACAGGAGGAAGUGUCUGGGAACAAGAGGAAGUGUCUGGGAACAGGAGGAAGUGUCUGGGCACAGGAGGAAGUGCCUGGGCAAAGGAGGAAGUGUCUGGGAACAAGAGGAAGUGCCUGGGAACAGGAGGAAGUGUCUGAGCACAGGAGGAAGUGUCUGGGAACAGGAGGAAGUGUCUGGGAACAGGAGGAAGUGUCUGGGAACAGGAGGAAGUGUCUGGGAACAGGAGGAAGUGUCUGGGAACAGGAGGAAGUGUCUGGGAACAAGAGGAAGUGUCUGGGAACAGGAGGAAGUGUCUGGGCACAGGAGGAAGUGCCUGGGCAAAGGAGGAAGUGUCUGGGAACAAGAGGAAGUGCCUGGGAACAGGAGGAAGUGUCUGGGAACAGGAGGAAGUGUCUGGGAACAGGAGGAAGUGUCUGGGAACAGGAGGAAGUGUCUGAGCACAGGAGGAAGUGUCUGAGCACAGGAGGAAGAGUCUGGGCACAGGAGGAAGAGUCUGGGAACAGGAGGAAGUGUCUGGGAACAGGAGGAAGUGCCUGGGAACAGGAGGAAGUGCCUGGGCAAAGGAGGAAGUGUCUGGGAACAGGAGGAAGUGUCUGGGAACAGGAGGAAGUGCCUGGGCAAAGGAGGAAGUGUCUGGGAACAGGAGGAAGUGUCUGGGAACAGGAGGAAGUGUCUGGGAACAGGAGGAAGUGUCUGGGAACAGGAGGAAGUGUCUGGGAACAGGAGGAAGAGUCUGGGAACAGGAGGAAGUGUCUGGGAACAGGAGGAAGUGUCUGGGAACAGGAGGAAGUGCCUGGGAACAGGAGGAAGUGUCUGGGAACAGGAGGAAGUGUCUGGGAACAGGAGGAAGUGUCUGGGCACAGGAGGAAGUGCCUGGGAACAGGAGGAAGUGUCUGGGCACAGGAGGAAGUGUCUGGGAACAGGAGGAAGUGUCUGGGAACAGGAGGAAGUGUCUGGGAACAGGAGGAAGUGCCUGGGAACAGGAGGAAGUGUCUGGGCACAGGAGGAAGUGUCUGGGCACAGGAGGAAGUGUCUGGGAACAGGAGGAAGUGUCUGAGCACAGGAGGAAGUGUCUGAGAACAGGAGGAAGUGUCUGGGAACAAGAGGAAGUGUUUUUUUGAACAGGAGGAAGUGUCUGGGAACAGGAGGAAGUGCCUGGGAACAGGAGGAAGUGUCUGAGCACAGGAGGAAUAGUCUGAGCACAGGAGGAAGUGUCUGAGAACAGGAGGAAGUGUCUGGGAACAAGAGGAAGUGUCUGGGAACAGGAGGAAGUGUCUGGGAACAGGAGGAAGUGUCUGAGCACAGGAGGAAGUGUCUGAGCACAGGAGGAAGUGUCUGAGCACAGGAGGAAGUGUCUGGGCAUAGGAGGAAGUGUCUGGGAACAGGAGGAAGUGUCUGGGAACAGGAGGAAGUGUCUGGGAACAGGAGGAAGUGUCUGGGAACAGGAGGAAGUGUCUGGGAACAGGAGGAAGUGUCUGGGAACAGGAGGAAGUGUCUGGGAACAGGAGGAUGUGUCUGGGAACAGGAGGAAGUGUCUGGGAACAGGAGGAAGUGUCUGGGAACAGGAGGAAGUGUCUGGGAACAGGAGGAAGUGUCUGAGCACAGGAGGAAGUGUCUGAGCACAGGAGGAAGAGUCUGGGAACAGGAGGAAGUGCCUGGGCAAAGGAGGAAGUGCCUGGGAACAGGAGGAAGUGCCUGGGCAAAGGAGGAAGUGCCUGGGAACAGGAGGAAGUGUCUGGGAACAGGAGGAAGUGUCUGGGAACAGGAGGAAGUGUCUGAGAACAGGAGGAAGUGUCUGGGAACAGGAGGAAGUGUCUGGGAACAGGAGGAAGUGUCUGGGAACAGGAGGAAGUGUCUGAGAACAGGAGGAAGUGUCUGGGAACAGGAGGAAGUGUCUGGGAACAGGAGGAAGUGUCUGGGAACAGGAGGAAGUGCCUGGGAACAGGAGGAAGUGUCUGGGAACAGGAGGAAGUGUCUGGGAACAGGAGGAAGUGUCUGAGAACAGGAGGAAGUGUCUGGGAACAGGAGGAAGUGUCUGAGCACAGGAGGAAGUGUCUGGGAACAGGAGGAAGUGUCUGGGAACAGGAGGAAGUGUCUGGGCACAGGAGGAAGUGUCUGGGCAUAGGAGGAAGUGUCUGGGAACAGGAGGAAGUGCCUGGGAACAGGAGGAAGUGUCUGGGAACAGGAGGAAGUGUCUGGGAACAGGAGGAAGUGUCUGGGAACAGGAGGAAGUGUCUGAGCACAGGAGGAAGUGUCUGGGAACAGGAGGAAGUGUCUGGGAACAGGAGGAAGUGUCUGGGAACAGGAGGAAGUGUCUGGGAACAGGAGGAAGUGCCUGGGCAAAGGAGGAAGUGUCUGGGAACAGGAGGAAGUGCCUGGUGUGUGUGUAAUCUUGACAACCCAGAACCAAAUCUUGUGUGCUCUCGCGGUUCAUGUUUCUUUGUAACGAGAGAAUAGGUGUGUAUUCAUUAGUGCACAGAAAACAUUUUGCAAUGAAAGCAAAGCGUUUGUUAUUGGAUAAGUUAUGGUUAUUCUCUCCCCCAUUUCAGCCUGCUUGCUCUGGUUUGAAUACCAGUGAACACACCCUGGUGUGUAAGAACAUCAACCAGGAGAGGUCAGACGGUAUGUUUAACAGUAAGGUAGGUUCCUCUAAAUGUUUGGUCAGGAGGCUAGCUGGAUCAGUUAGUGCUCUUCAGCAUUCUGUAAACAGACAGAAACACAAUGAUACUGCUGCUUCAUUCAUCAGAGGCUUUAGGCUACAUCGAAGACCAUCAGAGACUAUCAGAGGCUUUAGGCUACAUCGAAGACCAUCAGAGACUAUCAGAGACUAUCAGAGGCUUUAGGCUACAUCGAAGACCAUCGAAGACCAUCAGAGACAAUCAGAGACAAUCAAAAGAUCAGCAUUGUUUAUAAAAAGGAUCAUUGGCAACAAACAUUUCUCAACAGACUAGAAAAUUACAACAGGGGGGGGAAAAAAAAAAAGUAGAUAUAAGUUUCUCUUUUCCUUCGGCCAGCCCGUCUGUGAUGUCACAGUCACAUUCGGCACAUUGGCCACGUUCUAGUAGUCCCUCCUGGUAUCUUUCUGGUUUUUCCACGUUUGGUUUCUAGUGAAUACAGCCAAGGCUAGUUCGGUGUGCGACAAGGAACAAAAUGGGCUUUCCAGACAGACAUGAUAUCAUUCAUCCACUCUGCUCCUCUGUGGAUUCCAGCAGGAAAGAUGGGACGUCGGACCGACUGGGUUUCACAAAUAGAAAACACCAAAACAAAAAAAAAAAACGAUUUCUGUCCGUAGACCCAAAAAGGCUCAUUUCCUUGGCAAUUUCCCUUUGAGAGUGUCUGUUGACACUGGUAACUCAGGUAGAGAAGUGUUUGAGAUGUAAUGUCCAGAGGAAAGGCGGUAGUCUCUCAGUCUUCAUCUGUUUCUGUCUCCUGUGGCUGCUUGUCCCGUAAUAGUGGAAUGACAGACUCCCACGCUGCAAGGCACUGAAACACAGAGGGUGGGAGGGAGAGAUGAGUUAGAGGGAGAGAGGAGGACAUGAGUUAGAGGGAGAGAGAAAGAGGUUGAGAGGGGGGAGGAGAGAGAAAGAGGGAGAUGAAAGAGAGGGGGACAUAGAGAGGGAGACAACAGAGUGAGAGGGGAGAAAGAGGGAGGGAAAGAGACAAGAGAGGGGGAGGGAGGGAGCGAGAUGGGGAGAGAGAGAUGCUGCAAGGCAC